AUAUAUAUGUUGCCAAAAACAAUUGUUUGACAAAAACUAAAUAUGACCCGGAAGCAUGGCCGGACUUUUCUACUGAGCUGGAAGAAUUUAUAAAGUUGAAAAUCAGAUUCACACUACAAGAAAAAUGAGUUUUAAUAGCAGACCGGGAUAGCGUUUUUUUCGAUUGUGCUAUGGUUGACAUAACUAUUACUUUUAGAUAGCGUUUGUAUAUUUGGAAACGUUAUAAUAGAGGGGCAUAUUUGAAAACGCUAUAAUAGCGUAUGUUUAAUAGCAAAACAUUUUAAAAUGCUAUGUUUGGCUUUUUAAAUCCCUAAACCCUAAACAAGUUUUAAAACUCUACUCAUAAUAUAAACUUAAAAACUUUAAUAUUCUUGUACUAUAACUUCAAAUCUUAAACUUAAACUCAAAAUUUAUUCUUUUUAGUUUUAAUAUAUAAUUCCAAAUACACAAACUUUAAUUUCUCAACCAAACUCUAUACCCUAAACUCUACCUUCAAACAUAAGUCAUGCAUCCACUAAAUAUAAACUAUAAAUCUAAGUUUCAAUAAUUUAACAAAUUUCAAAUCUAAAUAUUAAUCAAAAAUAUUUAUACUCUUAAAAUUCCAAACCCCUGAAUCAUAACAUAACUCUUAAAUUUGUAUUUUUUAAAAAAUACUUAACAUAACUCUAAUUAUUCAAACCCUAUUAUGAAAUUUUUAAAAGUCAUAAAUUCAAAAAAUUCAAAUCAAAAUUUAUAUCUCAAAUGUUAAAUUAUAAUAUCUAAUCUUUAAAUUUAGGCAAGUUCUAAAAAAAUAAAUAAAAAGAAAUGUAAAACUAAUUUUUGUUGCCUCUAUUUUAUGGCCAUUGAUUAAUUCUAAUCCAAAGGUUAAAACUAUUUUUUUUUUGUCAAUCUUCAACCUUUUCUCUUAUUGGUUAAUUUUUUUUUCUCAAAGACCACAAUUUUUAGCAAUUGAUGAACUUUAAUCCAAUGGUUACAAUUAAAUCUCUCUCUUUCUCAUUUAUCUUCUCCUAUACGUCUCUCUAGUUGACCAAAAAAACCCAUCGAUAUUGCAGAGAAACAUAUCCAGUCUCUACGCUUUAUCCUUCUUUACCAGUCCCAAUGAUCCCAACUUCUCCUCCGCCACAGCUACUCCCCCCCCCCCCAACGCUGACGGUUCCGAUUCUCUGCUGGAAUUUCGUCGGGAAGUGCGGUGGGACCGAGAUCUUCAAGGUUCCGAUUAUGUCUGCAGUUCAUCCAAAUCGGCCUCCCAGUUUCGAGGCCAGACCCCAUCCUCAUAAGCAAAGUCAAAUCAGACGGUUCUUUGAGCUGGACAAUUGUGGGCUGGAGCUGAGGACGGUGGAUUGAAGAAUGAGACGUAGGAAGAAGGUGCGACCGAGGUGGUGCGGAGAUGAAAGAGGAAGAAGAAAUGCGGCGAGGUGAAUGGGACGAGCUUGAGGUGAUGGAUGCCGCGAAGACAAUGAAUCGUCAGAUCUGAAGAAGCUGUGGCAGCAGACGUUAGGGUCAUGGUGUGGAGGUGGAGCCAAGCACGAAAAAGAUAGAUGUGGCGGCAGUAGAUGAUUGAAAAUGGACUUUAAUUAGGUUUAGAAAUUUAGGUUUAGUUUCUAUUUUUUUUCAAAAAUUGGUUUAGCUUGGUUUAGUUUGGUUUAGUUUAAUAUACCAAUCCUUAAAUAUGUAAAUAAUAUCGAUAUAUAAAUUUUUUAUAAUAUUUUUAUUUGUAAUUUUUUUUUAAGUUUUAAUACUGUAAAUAAUAAAGAAAAUAAUACGCUAUUAAAAAAUAUUUAAUUGCACACAAAAAAACGCUAUAGUAUAUGACAAUAAGAUAGCAGCGCAAAAAACCGCUAUCUAAUGUGUCUGAUCUACUAUGACGGGCGAUGAUACAUCGCUUCAUAAACCGCUAUCGUAUCGUUAGAUAGUGUUUUUCGUCCGCUAAUAAAAGCUUUUUUUCUUGUAGUAUCACGAAGUUCUCGAUUGUCUUUGUUCCUCGCUCGGAAAAUGUAUCGUCUUAUUCAUUAGCUAAGAUAGCGAGAUCCUUCCAUAGGGAAUUGUAUUAUAUUGGUUGUUCUGUUCCGGUUUGGUUCCCUAGACCACCUCAAGCUUGAGUAAUAGAAUAUCCGUUUGAAGAAAAAAAAUAAAAGACAAAAACUAAAUAUAGAAUUGCUCAAAAGAGGAUUCAUUAAAGAUAUAAAAACACUUCUACCCUUACUUUACUUAAAUAUAAACAAUUAUUUAAAUAACAAAUUAAAUAUAUAUUUUUAAUUAUUUUAAUUUAAAAAAAAUAAUUCGGACGUUUUUUGAUUUUUUGGAAUUCUUUUUUUCAAAAAAAAAUUCAAAUUUUAUUUUGAAAUAUGGAAAUUAUUUUAAAAAUAUUUUCAAAUUAUUAUUUAAAAUUUUAAAUAUUAAUUUAAAAAAAAAUCAUAAAUCUCAUCCUUAAUAUCCGAACUCUAAAUCUAGAUUAAUUAACCUAAGAGUAUAAGUAUUUUUACCUUUUUAAUGAAACUUUUUGGUCAUUUUGACCAUUGAAUGUUAUAUUUGUUAUAAAAAAUAACUUUUUAGUUAUAUUAUAUGGAAUUUCUCUAUUAUUAAUCAAUACCUUUUCUUUUCAAAAUAGUCCAUGUUUUAGAAAAUAAAUAUUUGAAAAAAUAUAUUUUAUAUUUUCAAUAUAUUUUUUAUUAGUUAAUAAUGAUGAUAAGUCAUUUUAUAAAAAAAUAUUUUUUUUUAGAUUUUAAUUGUUUAAAAUUGUGAAAAUAACUAAUCAUAAAAAAUAAUAUAUUUAUAAUCAAAAUAUAAUAUAUUUUUAAAUAUGUAUAAAAACUUUACAGCAUAUAUCAUUUUGAAAUAGAAUGAAUAAAAACUAAGUCAAGCAUAUUAAUAGUGAUAUCAUUAUACUCCACAAACAAAAACAAUAAUUUGAUUUUCAGACAACCUGAUCAAGCAUCAAGAUUAUUAUUAUUAUAUCAUACUAGUCAUCAAUCCUCGUAAUACCAUUGGACUGACAAAAAUAAAAAUAAAAAAGUUCUUGGACCACAAUCGGGGUGCUUACCGCGGUGCUUAACCAUUUAAAAAAAAAUAAAAAAAGUAAGCAGCAGCGCUUGAACAAGCGUAGUAAGCGUCGGUUGUUCCCACUGUUCGCGGGUCCCACUGAUACGUGGCGGUUCGCCAUUGGUUUAUUUUUAAUUUUUUUUAAUCAGACAAAAACCUAAAAAAAAAAAAUAAAAAAUUAAGCACUCCGUUUGGGGUGCUAGGGUUAAUUAUGCCCUUAGAGCACCAUUAACCAUGAGUGCUUAAGGGGUGCUUAUCAUUUUUUUUAAUUACAAAAAAAAGGAAAGAGAAAAAAAAGAAGAAAAAGUGCUUAAUUAGGCAUCAAAAGCAGCUGUUGCUUGCACUGUUCGCGGGCUCCACAGAUACGUGGCGGCCCGCGAUUGGUCAUUUUUUUUUUUUUUUUAAGCACCCCAACUUAAGCAACUGGUGGGUUAACGGUGCUCUUACGCGCUUUCGAAAAAUAUCAACAAUGGCAAAUACGUAAAUAUAAAUAGCCAAAGGGGCAUUUUGUUUAUAUAAAGACGAGGAUAAAAAUGAAGCGAACGAUUAUUAUUCAUUCUCCACCAAGGUGGACAGCAAGUGGUAGCAACAAAGCACUUCUCUUUUGAUUCUUCAUAUCAUAAACCAAUAAAUCUUUUGCUUCAAUCCGCAAGAAUCAAUCUCUCUCUCUCUCUCUCUGCAAAACCAAACCAGAUAGUUGUAAUAUGGAGGCUACGAAGAAACAUAUAAUUCAAGAUAGAUCUUCAAUCUUUUAUCAUCAACCAUCUUCACUCCAGCAAAUGAACCUUUCUGUUCAAACAUUUGAUUGUUACUGCACACUUGAAUCCUCUCCAGGCACCAAGUCUCAUGCAUGUCUUAACAACAACACUUCUUCAACCACUAGCUUUUCCUCUAACGGCAACUCAUCAGAGUUGAAUCAUUCUCCUGAGGACAACAGCAACUCUCCCCUAAGCGGUUCUUCAGCAACAAACAACAACGAGGCAGAGCUUAGUCUCAUGCUGAAAGAAUUGGAGACUGCAAUGAUGGAGCCUGAACUAGACAACAAUGAUAAGAGAUUGUAUGUUAUUUGUUUCUGUUCCGCCCAACCUCCCUCUCUUGUAUUCUACACUCUAGAAGUACAAGCCAAAUAUAGAGAUCUUCUCAAGACGUCUCACACGUCGAGAGCCUGAGAUCAAGACCCUAGUCUAUAGAUCUUUACACAGUACUCAAAAAGACCCUUUUCUUUCUCUUCAAACUAUUAUUUAUACUCCUCUCA